UACGAAGGGGGCUAGCGUUGCUCGGAAUUACUGGGCGUAAAGCGCACGUAGGCGGCUUUGUAAGUUAGAGGUGAAAGCCCCAGGGCUUAACCCUGGAAUUGCCUUUAAGACUGCAUCGCUAGAAUCGUGGAGAGGUGAGUGGAAUUCCGAGUGUAGAGGUGAAAUUCGUAGAUAUUCGGAAGAACACCAGUGGCGAAGGCGGACUCACU
rnacentral:rRNA from 1 species